GCAAAACAAACCAAAAGGCAGCCAUAAAAAGUUGGCUGGCUCUUCUGGCGAAGAGCUCGUUGCAACGAAUUUAUAUUAAAAGUAAGUAAUUCACUGGUUACGAUCAAGCGCUUUUUAUAUGAUCUUUAUUGGUAACUUAGGGAUAGUCAUAUUGGCCACCACAAACUUGUUUCCACGUCAGUUGUAGUCUCACUGGUGAUACGGCUAUGCGUUCGACUUACAUAGCUCACGCACGGUACACGUACUCAACCUCGCACACAACGCCUCUCCUUGUGCUCGCCUUGGGGAUGACGCGUUACCUGUUGGGCCUUUCCUGGGCCUUACUCGGACGACUCUCAGGCCUCGCUCAAUAUGCUGUCUGGAGCUCUCCAGACGUGGCUCUCGUGGAAAACGGUUGGGGGUUUUGACUCGUCCAGAUCCUUGUCCGCCACGCACAGCUACGAACACAAUGGGUUCGGCCUUCUUGUCUACUCACCACAAGCGGUGGCUCUGCCUUGUAUGCCUUUUGUCCGAAAAGUUCUAAUCGCGUUGGUUGGAUCGCACUCGGAUUUACUCGGAUCCGCCAGUGUACCUUCGCUUUUUUGCUGUAUAUAAAAUGUUCACUUUGAGUCAAUUGCCAAUUUAUUGUCGCUGUUUUCCAAUGAUAUUAGUGUGCUCAGGAAAUUGAAAUGUGAAUUGUGAAU
rnacentral:lncRNA from 1 species